CUGAUAUAAUUGCUAUUGAGGCUGUGCCAAUCGACCAAAUUGACCAAAGCUUAGUUCAAAAGGGGCUUGCAGAGUUCACUCAGAAGCUGAGCACAGCUACAACUGACUUGGAGAAAGCUGAGGCCCAGAUUGGUGUUGAUGUUCACAGUGCUCUUAACUCUGCUCUCACAGGCUAAGGGUCCUCUGCAUAAUGCCUCCAGUUCUUUUUCACUUUAUGCCCUUUUGUGCUUCAUUGGCUUUUUAAUCUUUUUUGGUUCUUCAUAAUCUGUAAACUGCAUAGGCCUGUUAUCGCUUCGCCUUGUUUGUCAGAAAGGUAAAUAAAGCAAUGCAUUUACUUUGUUCACCAAGACAUCCCUUGGCAUGGGAUGUUGCUAG
rnacentral:misc_RNA from 1 species